rnacentral:rRNA from 1 species
AUUGAACGCUGGCGGCAGGCCUAACACAUGCAAGUCGAGCGGAUGAAGGGAGCUUGCUCCUGGAUUCAGCGGCGGACGGGUGAGUAAUGCCUAGGAAUCUGCCUGGUAGUGGGGGAUAACGUCCGGGAACGGGCGCUAAUACCGCAUACGUCCUGAGGGAGAAAGUGGGGGAUCUUCGGACCUCACGCUAUCAGAUGAGCCUAGGUCGGAUUAGCUAGUUGGUGGGGUAAAGGCCUACCAAGGCGACGAUCCGUAACUGGUCUGAGAGGAUGAUCAGUCACACUGGAACUGAGACACGGUCCAGACUCCUACGGGAGGCAGCAGUGGGGAAUAUUGGACAAUGGGCGAAAGCCUGAUCCAGCCAUGCCGCGUGUGUGAAGAAGGUCUUCGGAUUGUAAAGCACUUUAAGUUGGGAAGAAGGGCAGUAAGUUAAUACCUUGCUGUUUUGACGUUACCAACAGAAUAAGCACCGGCUAACUUCGUG